rnacentral:lncRNA from 1 species
GAAUUUCUUGAUACAUUUCUUGAAGAACUGUCAGGGUUACCCCUAGAGAGGGAAGUGGAAUUCGAAAUUGAGUUGUUGUCGGCAACAACAAUAAUGUUUAUCGCUCCUUACCACAUGUCACUGAAAGAUCUGAAGGAGUUGAAGAUACAGUUGCAAGAACUGUUGGAUAUGGAUUUCAUUAGACCUAGUGUUUCACCAUGGG